rnacentral:tRNA from 1 species
GCCCUAGUAACUCAGCGGCAGAGUGCCCGCCUGUCCAGCGGGAAGCCAGGGGUUCAAGUCCCCUCUAGGGCGCCA